rnacentral:lncRNA from 1 species
CUCCACUAACAAAUCAAUUUUCUCUUCGCUUGGUUUACGAUCUACAGCCCAUUGAAAAUUAUUACAUCUUUUACAAAGCCAAAAUUUACGAUUUGGAUUCUUUGUUGUACGUGACGUUAAUAACUCCAUGUAAUUACCGCAUCCGUUACAUAGCUGCUGUGAGUUUCGAAUUUCACUUGUGCUAGUUGACAUUGUGGUUAAUUGAUUU